rnacentral:lncRNA from 1 species
AGAAACUACAAUCAACAGAGCCUCCAACCUUCUAUUUCUUGGUGCUCUAUUCUUCAAAGAUGUAGAAGUAAGUGUAUUUCCUCAUCACAUAAAUACUGCUUCAUUUAAAAAAAUAACCCACAAUGAUCUUAGAGCCAUUAUUUAGUCUUUAAUAAAAAUUUAUAAAGAUUUAGCCAUAAUUUUUUCUAACCAUGAGGUAGAAAGGAUAGUAAUAUUUAUCUUGAACCUAAAAGCAACCUUGGAAAAGAAAGCUUAAAUUAGGAUGGGGCAGGUGCAUGGGUAUGUGAAUCAUGUUCAUGAGGCUGUAACAGAGGAAGGUCAAAUCUUCCAUUUACUCUUCUACAUUCUUGGUUCCUUUGAAAUUAGAUAGGCAAAAGACAAAUUUUGACCAAUGAAAUACUAUUUCAUGUAAGGGUACCAUUUCCAGGCUGAGGAGUGAGAAACUCAGGCAAAUUUCUCAAGUUUGUGUCUCUGUGUAGAAUACUGAGGAAGCUCAAUGCUCAGGGUGGUACAGUAACAAGAUGGUAGCUCCAUUGGCCUGGGUCUCUGAGUGACUUCAUGGAACAGAAAGUUCUGUUGACUCUUGUGGGAGACGUAAUGUGAACAAAAAUAAACUUCUGUUGUAUUAAGCUACUAUAUUUUAGGACUAUGAAUAAAGCCAGCUUCCUCUCUGCAAUAUUAUGCUGUUCUCUCAUGCCAUUCCUAAUGGAUAUGUUACUUGAUUCAGAUUAUUUGCCUUUGGAGUUUCUGGUAGCAUGUCGAUUUUAAGUCACUCUGUAUCAUUUGUAUUAUGUAUUGGUUUUAAAUCCUUGACUUUUAUUUUCCUUUUUAUCAGGAUUAAUUGGAAACAAUUUAAGAAAAGGCAUUUUAGCAGGCAUUUCCUAGAUAGAAUUGGCAGGAGUCCCAGAAAUGUCAUUUUAUAAUAUUAUAUAAAUUUCACAAACAUCACUUUAUUCAUCUCUAAAAUGGGAGUGAUACUAAAUUUCAUAUGAGGAUUGAUUUCAUCAAUAAAUAUAUUUUGAGUAACAUUUGGAAAAGUAAUAAUAUAAUUUUUGCUGCCUUCCUAAGCUCAUGGUAUUUAUGUUGGUUUUAAGAAGGCUUCCAUUUGUGUAGGAAGAAUUUAAAAUUUGUGAUAUGCAGAACGCAAAUAGAAAUAAUAAAUAAAAUUUCUGCACAUAUAAAUGUGGGUUUCUAUGUCAAGACAAUAACAGUGUAAGCUUGUAGAACUCAGAUAAACCCAGCUCUCCACUGAUGGAAGGAUGUCACCCCUUCUACCUGUGGCUGUCAGACCCUGUAUAGGGUAACAUCUGCUUCUUUUUGAUCUGAGUUAUGGAAAUAAGAAGAGAAAUGAGAGAGAGAGAGAGAGAGAGAGAGAGAGAGAGAGAGAGAGAGAGAGAGAGAAGCAGAUCUUUCCCUGUGCAGUUUUCUCUCUAUGGAUCUUUUUUUUUUGGCUCUGUUAUUCAAUUAAGUGAGAGAACACAGGGAGUGAUGAGGUAUACUUUCACCCUCCUACUCAAUCUUUGAGACUCUGAAAGGAAGCAAAUAUGCUGGCUGUAGUGUGCCAAUAUGGAGCACAGUCACAUAAAAAUGAACUAUGAUCAGGCAGAAGAAGGCCUGGAGAUCUGUUUUUCUUGGCAGCCUUUGAGCCUGUGGUAUAGACUGACUUCAGGAUACUGAGCAGCAGUUGGAGAGCUUGCUGGAGGGAGUCUCCACAGCAUUUUAAAGAGAUAGGUAUUUUAGAAGAGAUUCACCUUACAUUGGAGGCACAAGCAGAUUCAGGGCAGUUAGCUGGACCAGUAGAAGGUAGUGCAGAACGCCAGGUUAUCACUGAGGUCAGAAAAACAAAAUUACAGUCAUACCAGACUCAAACUUCAGUCUUAAAUAUUAUCAGGGUAAGUAACAGCAUCCAGGUGGAUAAAGGGCAUUGAAUCAAAACCUGAGGCCGAGGACAUGAUACUCAAGACCACUUACUUUUUCCUGUUGCCAGGAGGUUUAUUAGCUCUGCCCACUUGCCCCACAUUGGACAUAUCCAAUGGACACAUUGGACAUACCUCUUGGAAGAAGAGGUAGAAGAACGGAGGAGACCAUUCUUCUUUGAGAGCCAGAAUUUUUAUUUCAGAAAAAAAGAACAUUUUUCAAAUGUUAGGUUGGAUUAAAUUUAAACAUAAUUGGACAUUUAGUUAACUUUUUCCUACUCAGAUAUGGAGGAUUUAAAUUGAAGGAUGAAGUAGUUAGAAACAACAUAAAUAAAUUACAUUUUAUGCAUUCUAGUAUGAGUUAAACUUAUGACCUUGCUAUACAUACAAAAGAACACAGGUGUUCCAUAAAUGACUUUCACAUAAGUUCUUAAUAAAUGUUCAUGUUAACUUAAAACUUGCAGAAUACCUGACAUUUCCUUUUGAAUAUUUAGGAAACAUCAAAUUCAGUAUGUUCAGUAAAGAAUUCUUGAUUACUCACACUUCGUAUUUAUUUCUUCACUGUUUCUUACAUUUAAAAAAAUGGCCUCACCAUUUUGCUAUUUUACUCAGCAUUUAAGUCUUUUCUUUCAUCUCUAUAUUGAAUCCAGCAGGAAAUCUGUUAUAUCUCUUACCAAAUACAUGUUGAGUGUUCUGUUCUCUGCCUCUCCAUUAUUUAAACUUAAUAAAAAACCAAAUGCAUUUCUGCAUUUAGCAUCCUGUCUCCUGGGCAUUCUAAUUUUUCACCAAGAGGCUAAUGUGGUCUUUUAAAAACAUAAAAUAAAUCUUUUCAAUCUCCUGCUUAAAAUGCUUUUGAUGACUUUCUAUUGUUCUUAAAAACCUAAAUCCAUUACUUUCCUGAACCACGCCCUGUGUGGUUUGAUCUCUGAUUGUCUAACUCCAUCUCCCACCACUUUCUUCCUCUCCUGACAGCUGCAGGCAACAGGCCCUCUUCAUAUUUAUCAGUUAUGCCAGGACUUUUGCAUGUGUUCUGUCUGGAAUUCUCUUUCUCCAGAUCUCGGCUCCUUUACAGCCUUCAGAGAUCAACUCAGACAUCAGAAAGGCUUUCCUGACUAUUUUUCUUAUUCUUUAUCAUAUGCUUACCUCCAUGAUAACAUUUAUCACAAUCUAUGACUUUUGAUUUUUUUAAAAAUUGUUACCUGUUGUUUAUAAGGUUUCCCUGGUGGACUGUAAGCUCCCUGGGAGCAGGAAUCUUGUCUAUUCACUCUUGUAUUCCCACUACCUAAAAUCUUUACAGUUACAUAGAAAAGGUCAAUAAAUAUUUGCUGAAAGAAAAGAGGAAGAGAAAAAACAAAACAGAAGAAAGGAAGGGAAGAGGUAAGGACAGAGUGAAAGUCGUCAAGUCUAAACCAUUAAUAAGGUUCAUUAUAAGGAAUGAGACGUAUCUUAACCAUUUUUUCUACAUGUCAAGAAUGAACUACUUAUUAUUCAUAAUGAGAUUAGCAUUAAUUUACUUUUUAUAAUCAUUAUGUUUCUGAACCAAUUGGCACAAGGAAUUUAUAAAACUUUGUCAAACAUUGUUUUACUAAAUUUGAAACACAACUGCAGCAUAUAGUAGUGCUAUUAGUCAAGUUUUUCUAGCUUUCUGCCUUCAGAUAAGAUAAGAUUAUGUUUUGGGUUAUAUCUUUUUUCAUUAUGUGGGGCCAUGUGGAUAAGUUCUAGCUAACAUAUUCUGAUGAAAUUGGUGUAUGUUUCUUUCAAGCUGGAAUCUAUGUUUGCUGGUACAAAACCUUCCAAAGUGUCUUUGUUCAGAUAAAGUUAUCAUCAUGUUCCUUUUUUCCAUUAUAUAUACAUAUUGACAUAUAAAUAUAAAUAUAAAUAUGUAUACUAAUACACAUAUGUAUACUAAUACAUAUAUAAACACUUAAGAAUUUUCCCCAAUUAUUUAUUAAAUAGUGCUGAAUGUAUGUAUUGUUUGUUUCAUUUUAUAAAAUCAUUGCUUCAACAUGUCUUGGAAAUUUUUAUCAACUCUUUUUUUUUAUCAACUCUUCCGCAUCCAUUUGUCCCACAAUUUGCUGUGUAUUAGACACUCUUCCGUGUGCUUGGGAUAUAUCAGUGAGGAAAACAGAAAAUUUACCCCUAAACUUUCAUUUCAUAUCAUAAAUACAAUUAUACAGUGUUUUUGGAGAUAAUAAAUGUCAUGGAAAAGAGAAAAAGUAGAGCAGGGUAAGGGAGAAUCAAAAUCUGGGAUUGGAAGAAGACCUCCAAUGGAGAGUUCAAUACAAGAAGUCCUUGACAUAUAAUGCUUUGACUUUCAGAUUCCUUCCUUCCUUCCUUCCUUCCUUCCUUCCUUCCUUCCUUCCUUCCUUCCUUCCUUCCUUCCUUUUUCUUUUCUUUUUGAGAAAAAGGAGAAAGUGGUGUUAUUUCUUUGAUAGCAGAUGAAAAUACACAGUGGACACCAGACUUUUGAGGCAGUGAUUCUGCCUGCUUGUGGGAACAGUGUGGUUUGAAAGAGGGAAUACCAAGGCUAUACUCCAGCUGUGCCUUAUCAGUAGUCAUAAUUCAUUUGUGGCCUUGAGAGAGAGAGUCAUUUCUCAGAGUUGCUGGUACCAGUUCCAAUGUCUGGAUUCCUUCAUUUCUGUGGCCCAGGAACUGAAGGACAAAUAACUCAUCCCGUUGUCAUUUCUCUCUUCCUGAUCUUUUGUCAAAAGGGAUGAAGAGGUGAUUCUGAUCUUGGUUAAGACCUGUUUUUUCAUAACUAUGACAUACCCAGCUAUCUGCUUGCUGGUCAUUGUCCAUGAACUUGCUCCCAUAAGUAAAAAGUCUCAGUCCAGUUUCAUGUUGGAUCAGAGAAGUCCAACCUGUUUUCGAGUAUACCUCUAGCAGAGCAGGUUCAUCUUUCUUUCCUGAUUGUCAAGUGAAAGGGUUUCAGACAUUCAGUCAAUGGUUGGCCAAAUUCCAUAGUUCUGGGCCCAAUGUGAGGCAGAACAUCAUGGCAGAAAGGCAUGCUGGAGGAAAGCAGCACAGGACGUGACAACCAGGAAACAGAGAUGCAGAUUUUUCAAUUUUAUUAUGAUGGAGCAAUAGUGACAUGCACUCAGUAGAAGCCAUACUUAGAAUUUUGAAUUUUGGGCUUUCCCCAGGCUAGCUGUAGGCCAUAUGAGUCUCUCUUGUCAUAUUGGGCGGGGGCAGCUAGCCUUUGUGCCUGGUCAGCCACACAAUCACAAUAGUUAGCAACUGACACUCUGUAAGUGCUUUGGGUUGCUAAUCUAUGAUGUGCGGUAGGUUAGAUCUAUGGAAAUAUAGUCAGUGCAUUUUCAAAUUGGGAUAUUUCCAAUUUACUAUGGGUUCACAAGGAUGUCAAUCUUGAAGAAAGUGUAAAAAUAGUCCAGCAGACACUUGAGGGGAGAGCCCUCUGAGCUGAAGUGGACUUGCUAGAGCAGUGAUUCUCAAUGUUUUGGUCUCUGGAAACUUUUACACUCUUAAAAUUUGUUAAAGAACCCAGAGUUGGUUUUAAAACCUUACAGAUCUUCUUAAGAGUCCUGGGCCACCUUUGACAAUCUGUGAGCUGGAGCAAAGGCUCUGAGGGCAGCACAUGCUUAGUCAUUUGUAGGAACAUUAAGGGCAAUAAUACAACUGGCGGGUGAUUCAGGGAGGAGAAAUAGGAAGGAAGUCAGAAAGGUAACCAUGUCCCAUUAUGUGAGACCUUGAGAGAAAUUGGAAGCCAUAUAUGAGCUUUGAGCAGAGAAGUCUCAUUUUCUGGCUUAAGUUUUCAAGAAGACACAGUACUAGAAACUAGACUAAAGGGAGCUGGAAACACAAACAGGGAGAACCGUAAAAGGUUAUACAAAAACUGAGGGGAAGGACUCCGCACCUCAGUGUUAACCCUAAAUAUAUCAGUAGACUAAUACAGAGUCUGUUAGUAUUAAAGUAAUGCCAUUUCCCUCUGACUGAUUCCCAUUCAAUAUAGUUUCCUGUCUUUCUUUUCCUCAUUGCUUUACACAAAGACACUAUUAUGUCUUCAUUUAAUUUUAGUUUUCUUGUUAAAAAGCAAUAUAGAAAAAUAUUAUUUUCAUAGAUCCCAUUUAGUCAACAUUUUCCAAUUCUCUAUUUUAGUCUCCUUUUUAAUAGAAAUUUUAAAAAUAUAACAAUUUGAAGGGCAACCAAAAAUCUUUUUGCUAACGUUUUUGUUAAGAGUUUUUCAUUUAACCAUUUUGACUCCACAUUUUUUUUUGUUGUUAUUUUUGUUCUUUUUACCAGAUAAAUUUUCUACCAAAGGAAUGUCUUGCGUUUUAAUAUGGAUCUAUCUUUAACUUCAAUACCAAGAUAGCUUUUUUUUUUCUGAAUACAUUUUUUUGGUACACAAAUUCAUUAUAAAAUAAAAAUAGAUGUUGCCUUUCUUUUGGUAUUUGAAAAAUCAAAUAAGUACAUCAAAUGCUAUGAUUUAAUUAGAAUACAAUCACUCCCUUUCUCUGCAUGUUUAACAAUCCCUCCUGGCAUCAGAUCUAUUUGAAAUCUCAAUGUUAUUUUGAGAUAAAAUGUUUUGUGCAAUAUCAUCCUUUAUGUCUGUUUCAUCCAAUAGGUUAUAAAUUCCUAGAGAGUAGAUUUCAUGAAUCUUCCUUUAACCACACCCAUUUCCUUGUCCCUCAUUGACUGAUGGGUAUAUGAUUAAUUUAGGCAUUUCUCAUGUUAUUUCUCAUUCAUUUCUGGUUUCUCUGCUGAAGCACCUAAAGAAAUCUUACUAAAUAUACUAAAAAUGUAAAACCUAUUAUUAUUUUUUUUAAUUUAAGUGGAAAAUUUUGUGAGUCAGAGUGGAAUUAGGAGUUAUUAUUAUUAUUAUUUAGAAUUAGGAAUUGUUAAUCUCAAAAAGGAAUUUUUGGUCUAUUUGGUAUCCAUGUAGUUUACCAUCCUCUCAAAAAGAGAUUAAAUAUUUCAGUGUACUCAUUAGCUUGAAUCAAAGGUUAUCUGAAGCUUUUUCUCUCAUGAAGAGAGGAAAUGAAAAGGGACACAUUGAUUUAUUGAAGAUGAUUAACAAUUGUACAAUUAAAUUUAUAACUAUAAAAACCUAUUCUUGUUUCUAAGUGGUUUAAAUUAACUCUCAUAUAUGAAGAAUGAAGUUAAUGAAUCAAUGUAUCAUGUCUAUAUGAUAUCACUACUUUUAAUCAUAUCUUUUUGAUGUCCCCACUUUUAUUUGAUGUUUGAUUUUAUAAUCUUUGUCCCCCCUCAAUAUUCCAUUUCUCCAUUUUGUAAGCUAAGAAGAAAGUAUUGAGAUACUUGUAUUUUUGGUAUCAUACUUCUCCUGAGUCUAUGUAGAGCAAUUGGUACCCAUAUAAUUUAUUGUCUAAAUUGGACAGAUUUGAGGGUUUUAAGAUGCACUAUAAAAUAUCACAGUAGAGCAGUGGAUUUAAGUUCUAACUGUCCCUGGUAAGCCAGAAUGUCUGGCCACUCUAUAGACAGGUGUGAUGGGAACACAUUUUUUUUUUUUUAAUCUCAUAGUUAAAGGGGAAGGAAUUUCCAGGAUAGAAAGCAAGGAACACUUUCAUCUGCUAUUUACCUCUUCUCUGAUUCUUUCUCAGUGGAGAGGAAGUGACUUUGCUGAUCAAUGAAUCUGAGAGAAGAAACUGAGCAUAAUCUCCAAGUUUGGCACUGCCAAAGCAGCCAAUGCGAUGCUCGAUACUUCUGAAAAGAAAGCCUUCCCCAGAUGCUUGUUGUAAAAGUUUCUGAUAUUGUAUAUAAAACAGCUUUUGUUGACUUCAGAAUUCUAAUUUUAUAUGUCCAUAUGGACUUUUAGAAAAUUAAAUUUAAAUAUAUCCUUUCCCUCACCACAUUCUCCUUUACUGUAUAUCUUGGAAUAAUCUUGGAAUAAAAUGUUCUUUUUAAAAGAGAGCUUUCUUCUCAUUUUUACAUAUAAAAGAAUGCCUUAGUAGUUCUUGAGAAUCUUCUGUUUACUUGUUAAUAAGUAAUCAGAUUUAAAUUGAACUCAUGACUUUUGGAAUGCAUUAGCAAUGCAUUUAUUAGAAAAUAAAUCAAGUUCCACCUUAUUUAUUUUGUUUAUUCUUUACCUAUGUUUAUUAUCAAUAUAAAAUUUAAAAAUACAACCCAACUUGUAGAUCCUAAAUUGGGAAAUAUUUUUUUUUAAUAAUUCUUUUGAUGACUUUCCUACAAAAGAGUACAGCUUUGAGUAUAUGUUAUUUUUGAACACCUUCCUAUUAUUACAAUUUUCAUUAUAAGGCAGAAACAAAAGACACUAAAGGCAAAACCAAAUAUUAACAAAUAUCUAUUUUCAAUUGCUUGAAAAAAAUAAGAUAGCUUAAUAAAUAACUGAAAGAUAUAGCACCGUUCUAAAUAAGAUAUACCUUUUAGAUUAUGAAACAUAUGCAAUUGUAUAUCACUGCAUUAUUCGGGGUUACCUUACAUCUGACCUUGUUGGUAUUUCCAGACUGAAAGACACUCAGCUCCAUGUACCUGGUUAUUUACUGUGACUAAAUCUGGUGUUGCUCUAUUCUGUUAGUCCUUCAGGAGUAAAUUCAAUUGAGCACCUGAAGUUGAGAGGCCUGUCCCAUUCUGGCCUCCAUUCUUUGGAAGUAUUCCUCCCUUUUCUCUAGCUAAAGGAUCUCCAGAGAGAGGGAUGGAGAGGCUACAGAGCUGCUCUUGAGUGUGAGGAAGAAUGCGGCCUUUCCUGGAUGGACUUACACUAACUCCCUUUCCUGUUGUAACACUGCUUCGUUGGAGGUCCUCUUUCUACAUCUGCUCACCUUGGCUAAAUUGCCUGUCUUGGUCCUCAUCUCCACACUUCACCUUUCUUAAAUGCCCUUUAUCUUUAGAUUCACUGUACUGUUCUUCAUUUUUUUUUGUACCAUUGAAUAUUUUCCCUUCUUCUUCAACAAAAUGUAGGUAAUUACUCAAAAUCCUAUCUAUUGGUCUCACCUUUUCUCUGCAGGUAUUUUCCUUUGUGCCAACCAUUACCUCAACCCAAAACUCCAUGCUUUAGAAAAAUUCCUGAAGGCCUACUCCUCAUGUCCAGUUGAAGAUACAUCCACUUCAGAAAUCCAUAUCUGUUACCACUUGUACAUGCACUUUGUCUCUCUUUUUCUACCUCUUUCCUCUUGUUAUCCCCUCCUUCUAGAGUACCUUUGAAACGUCAACCUGUUGUGAUUUCUGCUUAUGUAUCAAGCCUUAGGUUCCACCUCUGGUGAAGCUAGUCUAGAUAUUAACUACAUCUGAUAUCUUCAUGAUUUGAACUCAUUCAGCAUCUUAGGGAACUGAUUUUCCUCCACAGAACAUGUAGGUUAUUUCUACGAUUGUCUUAUCCUUGGACUGCAUCUUGUAGUUGCCUACCACUAUACCACAUUUUUAUGCUAAGAAAAUGAAGCUUGUUUUCCCUGCCUAACCAAGCUGAUUAUUCUCACAAACUACCAGCCACCUGAUGUGAAUAAACACAGUAGCAAAUUGCAUUUUAUAGUGUGACACUGUUGUUUUUGCAAAGAAGUGUAUGCCAAGUGUGGUUAUGCACAUAUAUUUCCUGACUUACCAUCUAGGAUAAAUGAUUCUCAUAUGUAGCAAUACUACCAAUUCCAGUUUUCACAGACCUAAAUUUUUGCCCUGGGAACAUCUCCAAGAUUUACCUAAAGGAGUAUUAAAGGAAGGGAGAGAGAAGUUUCUCAUUUAAUUAGCAACUUUGCCUCCCUUACACCCACUGGAUUUACUUUAUGCCCUAUGAUCUUAGUUCCCCAAGCAAUUUUGUCCCAGCCCUUUCUGUGUGACUGCCAACCUACUCCAGCCCAUUGAAUACUGAUCCCCUUUUAUAUCCCCAGGUAGCUGGGAAGCUUGAGAUUUUUCUUAGUUCCAUGGGGGAAUUGUUGGCUCUCUUUUAUCCAGAAUAUUCAUGCUCUUGAAAGGAGUAGUCAGGGUGGGUUAGGAGAUGAUCAAGCUCAGUUUCUCACUGUAUCUGUACCUGUUCCUUCUGAUCUUUGGACACUGGAACUCAACCUACCUAUUCUUUGAGUGUACUGCAUACCGUUUGUAUUAUCUUCCACUACUCUCAGAAGCCUAAAUUUCGUGUAACAGGUCCUAUAAAUUUGGAAGCCUAUCCACAGGCCAGAUUCAGUUUUUCUCUUAUCAUUCUGGCUCCAUGCAGAUCAGAAGAUGCAUCUGUACUUCUGAUGAUGUUAAGGGGCUGCUCCUCUGGGAGCUCAUAGAAAGCCUGGGUGUCUGGACUGAUGAACAUUACAUUUUAACCCAGUAUAGAUGCUGCUAUAACUUAGGAGAAUGUGGAUUUGUAGGAAGAGAAGUGCCUGUAAGGGUGCCCAGAAAAAUAUCUUUUGAGUAAUGAGAAUAUCAUUAAUCCUGAUUUUGUCCUUUUAUGUUCUCUAUUUAAUGCAACGAUUAUAUAAUUUACCAACUAGUUUUUGAAAAGAGAAAAAUCAUCAUUCAUCCCAUUCUUCCAGGUAUCCUAAACACAAAUCCCUUGCCUCCCUGUUCCUACCUCAUGCAUGCGCAUGUAUCCAAUGUGCAUAUACAUUCCCACCUUCCCUCCACAUAAUAGACUGAAUUUCUUAGAGGUAAUGGUUUUGUGUUCAUCUUUAGCAUUAGACAUGGUGUCAUCAACACAGUGUCAUCAACUCUCAAUGUUCACCAAGUCAAAUCCAUGUGUUAAGAUCUCUAAGAAUCUUGGCUAUGAAUGAGAAAUUGUGGAUCUCUUUUUUAUCAGUGGACUCUUACUGGGAAUUUAAAAUAUUUUGUCUUAGACAUAAUCAUUUCUGUUUAUAGUUGUAAUCACUUCUCAUUUUCCAUGAUGGAGGUGGGGUCUCCUAAGCAGGAUCUCAGACAAGCCCCUCUUAAUCUCCAGACUCCUUUCCCUAAGUGUUUAGGAGAUGUGGGAACCACGUAGAUCAAUGCAGGCAGUGCUGCUUGGGAAUGGCAAGGGUGGAGAAGGAAGAAGUACAGCUAUUGUGGUCUCCCAAAGUGUAUCUUGAUACACAUUUUGAAUCUUCUCUUUCAUUUUUCCGUCUUUAAUCAUGUUGGUGACUAGAAACAUAUAUGACUUUUAUAGGUAAUUGUCUAUCUAUCUCUCUGUUAGGCUUGCCUAUUAUUUCAAAUUAUUUGUUGAUACUUUGAUUUUCUGUGUAACUAGAUCUGAGUUUACUAUAUAAGUGGUAAUGCUGUUCACCGUGGCACAGUGGCAGCACACCCUUAAUCCCGGCAAUUUGGGAGGCUGAGGAAGGAGGAUAACCAGUUCAAGGCCAGCCUCAGCAAUUUAGCAAAACUCUGUCUCAAAAAAAAAAAAAGGUAAUAAAACUAAUAAUGUUUCAAAUCACUGGGGGAAAUGCUAAGAUCUAUGAUUGGUGGUUCCUAUGGUAAGAAUAUAUUUAGUUUCAAUGAGAAACUGCCAAACUGUCUUACAAAGUGGUUGUCCCAUUCAGCAAUGAAUUAGUUUUCUGUUGCUCAAUAUCUUUGUCAGCAUUUGGAGUUGGAAUUGUUUUAAAAUUUGGUCAUUCUAAUAGGUUCAUAGUGGUAUUUCAUUGUUUUUUUUUUUUUUAGCUUGCAAUUCCCUAAUGGCCUGUGAUGUUGAACAUCUUUUCAUCUGCUUAUGUAUCAUUAGUACAUUCUCUGGUGAGAUGUCUAUUCAAGUAUUCUGCACAUUUUAAAAUCUUAUUCUUUGUUUUCUUGUUGAAUUUUACAUUUUUGAUAACAACUCUUUGUUGGAUGUGCCUUUUGUAAAUGUCUUUUCCCAGUCUGUGGCUUGUCUUGUCAUAUUUUUAAGGAGCAGACAUUUUUAAUUUUAAUGAAGACCAGUUUAUCAACUGUUUCUUCCAUGGAUCAUCCCUUUGGUGUUAUGUCAGAGAAGUCAUUGCCAUGCCAAAUGUAAUUUAGAUUUUUUUUUUCUAUUUUAACUUAUAGUAUGUAGUUUUAUAAUUUUGUGUUUUACAAUCUAUAAUGUUUUGAGAUGUGUAGAAUUAUGUUGGUUUACCAUGGCAUACCUUUACCUACCUGAGUCACUGCCUGAAACGUAUCGAAUAAUCAAUAAAUUCAAAUGUUAUAAGUGUGUAUAUGUGUUAUAAAUUGGAUUACUUAGAUCAGUUUUAUACUUUGAAUUGCAAAAAUGGCUAUAAAAGGAAUAAAAUCUCAGUAAAUAUCAAAUAUCAUAUGGAAAGAAUUCAUUAUAUUGAAAGAGUCAUGAAAUUCAUAAUUCAUAAUUUUAUUACUGAAGUAGAUGUUUGUUAUAAAAGGCAUAAUGGGGACCAAGAUAGUACUAAAAUAAUGUUUAAUAAGUUCUCCAUGAACUAGUGACAAAGAUAGAUUGUGUAUAUUUAUAUAUUCAAAUAUGAAAAAUUAAAAAUAAAAAAUAUAACAGAAGGAAAAAACAUGAUUAAAAUCUAGAAAGGAAAAUUAAAAGUAGAUUUUAUUAAAGUACAUACAUUAAACUUUUAGCUACUUGUCUAUGAAAAGUUCAACGUGAUCUGACAUUUAACAAAACUUUCUUUCCAACGUGUCACAGUAUAUUAGGCAUCUAUGCCAAACAUGUGCAGUCAUGACAAAAGGGAAGUAAUGAAUAAUAUUCAUGGAGAGUAGGCACUGUUACAUUCAUUCCCCUGAAUAACAAAGAAAAAGAUUAAUGUUUACUCUUCUUUUUCAGGGAGUCACAUUCAGGUCCCAUAUUUAGAGAAGAAUGCAGGCUCUGAAGACAUUUCUAGUGAGAGAUUCAUUUGAUGCCAUCAUACAAAUUCCACACAAAGUCACUGUCUCAAUAAAAUCCAACCAAUUUAAGAGUAAAUUAUCAUUUACAUUUGUUGAUUUAAAAAAUCAAUAUAUGGCUGGGAAGAGUGGCAAAUACCUGUAAUCCCAGUGGCUUGGGAGGCUGAGGCAGGAGGAUCACAAGUUCAAAGCCAGCCUCAUCAACUUAGCGAGGCCCUAAGCAACUUGGAAGGACCCUGUCUCAAAAUUAAAAAUAAAAAGUACUGGGGAUAUGGCUUAGUAGUAAAGACCCUCUGGGUUCAAUCUCUAGUAACUAACUAAUUAAAUAAAAUAAAAAGUCAACAUACAGAGAGCCUUGAAUUUCUUUACAAACUUGGGGUGCUAGGUUUUGUAAUUUUGGCUGGUGUCUUUUCCUACAUUUAAUACAUUAAAUAAUGACAGUAGGAACUACAUACACGGGAAGUAAUAUUUGACUCUUUCGCUAGAGACACUGAUUUUAAUUAUUUCAGAAAAAAUUCUGGGUUCCUGUAUUUAAAAACUGUAUAGUACAUUAUAAAAUAACUUGGAAACAUAACCUCAACCAUAUGCUUUUCAGGUGAGAUCCUACUGACAGGAAUGUGUCAAUUCUGAGAUAGUCCUUGUAUUCUGGGAAGGUUCUUUGGCAGUUUUUGUCCCAACUGACUUGUUAGAGGGGACUACAGAGCCAAGUUUCAUUUGGAAUUUAACUGCUGAAAAUAGUCCAGUUUCUUCAUGGAAAAACAAUGGAGUUAAAGAACUGACAGAUUUUUAGACUUAUUUGUGUGUUCCAGAGAAGAUGCUGGCACCAAAAUCCAUAAUCAACAACAAAUAAUUAGCAUCACUGUUUUCUGUUUUGCCUACGCUGGUUCUAAGGAUAAUUGCUCUCUGUUUUAAAAACAAUUAAAAAAAACCCUUUGAGGCCAGUUCAUUUCAAAUUGCAUAAAAGAUAUUCUUUACUUACUGCUUAGAACAGUUUGUUAUUUCUUUCUCUUUCAUUUAAAAUCUGCUAAAAUGCAAUAGUUGUUAAUUUUCAACUGGGCAUGUCUCUGGAGUUACUUUUCCAGUAAUUCAUAAGAAAGUUAUGUCAAACCAUCCAACUUCCUUAGUUGAGGGUUUGUAGGAAGUUUUUAUUCACUGGAUCUUUCCCCUUCACAUUUCAAGGAAAAAAAAUGUUUCCUUUUUCUUCCGUUAUUCAGAUGAAAGUAUAAAUGCAGCCUACAUAUCACUGAACCUCAUCUUUUAAAAUAUUCAAUUUAUUGUGUACCAUUUGACUCCAUCCUGUAUAAUUUUCUUCUUCUCAUUUUUAAGGGACUGCUGUAAUGCUGAGAAGUACGAGCCAUGUGUAACCUGGGGGUGACCCGCUCAGGGGUGCUGCUGCUUUUCAUCACAGUCACUCAAUCAGCCCUCAAACCAGCAAUGCCUCCCGUGAUCAAAGACCAGCCUUUCAACAUUUUCUGGGCAGCUUCGACAGUUUAUUGUAAGGAUUUCUUCAAGGUGAAUCUGAACCUUCAAUCAUUUAACAUUAUAUCAAAUCCUUUAGAGACUCACAGUGGAUCAACAAUUGCCAUAUUCUAUCCAAAUGAAUUGGGAUAUUAUCCUUUUUUCUCCCAAGAUGGAAAAUCCUUUAAUGGAGGAAUACCGAAGAAUAUGAGCCUUUCUAAACACGUUAAGAAAACGGCUGAAGAUAUUGCCAAAGCUGUCUCUUGGUGGCAGUCGGAAGGACUUGUUAUUAUUGACUGGGAAGGUUGGAAGCCCCAGUGGGAGAGGAACUGGGCCAGCAGAAUAAUAUAUAAAAAGCACUCCUUAGCCUUCAUGAGACAGCAUCACCCUGAGUGGCCAGAAGCCAAAGUGAAAACAGUCGCCCAACAGGAAUUCGAAAAGGCUGGAAGGAGUUUUAUGAAUGUCACUCUCACAUUGGCUUUAGAAAUGAGACCAAAACAUUUAUGGGGCUUUUAUCUCUAUCCAGAUUGCUACAAUUAUGAUUACAGGAUAAACCCAGAGUUCUAUACAGGUAAUUGCCCAAAUGAUGAGAUUUUCCGCAAUGACCAGCUCCUUUGGCUGUGGAACAAAAGCACAGCACUUUUUCCUUCAAUAUAUUUGGAUAAAAUACUAAAGUCAAGUUUAAAUGCAUUGAAAUUUGUUCAUUAUCGAAUUAGAGAAGCUAUGAGAAUUGCUGAAAUGGCUAGACAAGAUUAUGCUUUGCCAGUUUUUAUUUUUUCCAGACCAUUUUAUUUGAAAAGUAUUGAAGUUCUGUCAGAGGUAAGAAAAGGUACAUUUAUUCACAU